rnacentral:rRNA from 1 species
GACGAACGCUGGCGGCGUGCUUAACACAUGCAAGUCGAACGCUGAAGCUCAGCUUUUGUUGGGUGGAUGAGUGGCGAACGGGUGAGUAACACGUGAGUAACCUGCCCCCUUCUUUGGGAUAACGCCCGGAAACGGGUGCUAAUACUGGAUAUUCACUGGUCUUCGCAUGGGGGUUGGUGGAAAGGGUUUUUCUGGUGGGGGAUGGGCCCGCGGCCUAUCAGCUUGUUGGUGGGGUGAUGGCCUACCAAGGCUUUGACGGGUAGCCGGCCUGAGAGGGUGACCGGUCACAUUGGGACUGAGGUACGGCCCAGACUCCUACGGGAGGCAGCAGUGGGGAAUAUUGCACAAUGGGCGCAAGCCUGAUGCAGCGACGCCGCGUGAGGGAUGGAGGCCUUCGGGUUGUGAACCUCUUUCGCUCAUGGUCAAGCCGCAACAAUGGUUGUGGUGAGGGUAGUGGGUAAAGAAGCGCCGGCUAACUACGUG